rnacentral:rRNA from 1 species
GNNNGGGGCNGCAGGCUAACACAUGCAGUCGAGCGGAUGAUGGGAGCUUGCUCCCUGAUUUAGCGGCGGACGGGUGAGUAAUGCCUAGGAAUCUGCCUGGUAGUGGGGGAUAACGUUCCGAAAGGAACGCUAAUACCGCAUACGUCCUACGGGAGAAAGCAGGGGACCUUCGGGCCUUGCGCUAUCAGAUGAGCCUAGGUCGGAUUAGCUAGUUGGUGAGGUAAUGGCUCACCAAGGCGACGAUCCGUAACUGGUCUGAGAGGAUGAUCAGUCACACUGGAACUGAGACACGGUCCAGACUCCUACGGGAGGCAGCAGUGGGGAAUAUUGGACAAUGGGCGAAAGCCUGAUCCAGCCAUGCCGCGUGUGUGAAGAAGGUCUUCGGAUUGUAAAGCACUUUAAGUUGGGAGGAAGGGCAGUAACCUAAUACGUUAUUGUUUUGACGUUACCGACAGAAUAAGCACCGGCUAACUUCGUGCCAGCAGCCGCGGUAAUACGAAGGGUGCAAGCGUUAAUCGGAAUUACUGGGCGUAAAGCGCGCGUAGGUGGUUCAGUAAGUUGGAAGUGAAAUCCCCGGGCUCAACCUGGGAACUGCUUUCAAAACUGCUGAGCUAGAGUACGGUAGAGGGUGGUGGAAUUUCCUGUGUAGCGGUGAAAUGCGUAGAUAUAGGAAGGAACACCAGUGGCGAGGGCGACCACCUGGACUGAUACUGACACUGAGGUGCGAAAGCGUGGGGAGCAAACAGGAUUAGAUACCCUGGUAGUCCACGCCGUAAACGAUGUCAACUAGCCGUUGGGAGUCUUGAACUCUUAGUGGCGCAGCUAACGCAUUAAGUUGACCGCCUGGGGAGUACGGCCGCAAGGUUAAAACUCAAAUGAAUUGACGGGGGCCCGCACAAGCGGUGGAGCAUGUGGUUUAAUUCGAGCACGCGAGACCUUACCUGGNCUUG